rnacentral:lncRNA from 1 species
GCAAUUUCUGUAAUUUUUAAGCACUGUUCUUCCCAUACUAGAGGCUCUGCUCUAACUAUUCAACUCUGUUUGUCCUAGUUUUCCUAAAAUUCCCUUUUCCACUGGUGUGUGGUGCAAGAUGAGGCACAUUUUCCAUGGAUGGUGAACAGAGGGAGGAGCCUUUUGAUCACAACCCGGUCACCCCACUUCUAAGCCACUGUGCCUCCAGCCCCACAAGACUAAGGAGAGAGAGUGCAGAGUGGUGGAGAGUGAGCUGUGCUGGGACCGUUGUUUCCGUAACCUCGUUUUCUGUGUCCAGCUGACACACCUUCAAAGCGGCAUCAGGUCCUACACUGUAGCUUGCAAUGUGCCUGUUUCCAGAAACCAAGGUGAAAGUGCUUUUAGACAGUGUUCCCAUGCAAGAGUCCCUUCCCAGCUUUUUUCUGGAAAUGCAUGUUUCUCUGAACUCUGAGUCCCAAGAAAAAUCAUUUGAGACAUCAAGAAAAUGGGGGAAGUGCUAAAAUUGUGUGGGAAUUCAAGCUUAACAAUAAACAUCAAGACAUUUUUGGUAAAAAUGAAUCCACUGACAUCGGGGAGGAGCAAGAGAACAGCACGCUGACACUGGGUCAGAGGCUAAGACCGACAUUUCUGGGAACCACUCCCGGAAGGGCACAGAUGAGACACUUUCAGCCUCUCGUCAGCCAGCCUGGCCUGUAGCUGCUGCACGUUAUGAGUGUGUUCCUGGCAUGACUGCUUCUAACAGUGACCAUUUCAUUAAGUUUUUAAGUGCCUGGUAAUUGCUUGGUUAUGACCGGUGUCUGCUCCAUGGCAGCCUCUUCCUGUUUUUGCCCGAAUGAUGAAGGAGGAAGUUUACAUCUUGCUCCCUGGGGACAGGCAGAGAUAGUGUGUGCACUUCCAUCCUACAAGGACCAGAUCUGAACAGUCUGGAGAGAGGAGCUGUGGUGGCAGCAGACAGAUCUCUGCUUCAGGGGCCAGGUGUCCAGAAGAAAUGCUGAGGCAGUGUCACGCUGGUGUCUGUCCUCCUUACAGAAUGCCUGAACAGUUCCAUUGACUCAAAGUGAAGAUCAAAAGAACCAAAGGACAGCAAUAGCCAAGUGUAAUCAUCAGUAACCCUGUGUUCUAUCCACAGUUAAAAGAAUAUUGGCAGAGAAACAGCCUUGGUGUUCCAGCAGGAGUGAAGAGGAACAGGAAAACACGUGGCAGUAGCCCUGAAACAGCCACUUCUGGUGGUUGCCACUCACCUGAGGAUGUGAGUCCUGGCAGGCCAGGCUCCUGGGGACAGGGGGCCCAAGGCGCAGUAGAGAGUAAUUUUUAAGAUUAUGGAUGGACUGUUGGGUACUGGUUAAGAAUUCUGGGUUUGGCCAGG